GCGUCUGUGGCUUAACUGGAUAUAGCACUGGGUUUCGGCCCCGGUGGUUGCGGGUUCGAAUCCUGCCAGGCGUACCA
rnacentral:tRNA from 1 species